ACACGCCCUAACUCUAGUGAAGGCGGGCUUCAACCUGCCAAUAUGAGGUUGAGGCCUUAAGCAUUUAGCAAUGGAGCAGCCGAAGCCCGAAAGAAUUCAUCCACUUUAAGAGUUAGUAAUAGUAAAGUAAGGAAAUUUGGAGGGAAAAUGGAGCUUCUUACACUAUCCAAGUUCAAACUUCAGCUUCGAGCCUUGGUUACUGAGGUGCGAGACCUCAGAGAAAGGGAGCAUCAAAGCACGGAACAACUGCAACUUGUGAUUCAAAGACAAAAGCGAUCCGAGGAAGAAUUUAGUAGAAAGUUACAAGAAUUACAAGCAGAGCUAGAUUCGUCGAUUGAAUUGCAGCAAAAGCUUGAACGGAAGAUAAGGUGCCUUCAGGAUGACAAUGCCUUAUUGGAAAACAAGCAGAGGGACUUGAAGGGAACCAUAGAUAGCUUGCUUCAGUCAAGGGAGAGUUUCGUAAGCAUCUAUGAGGAUUCUACUUGUGAAAUGAGACGGUCAAUAGAAUUGAAAGAAAGAAAGCUUUCUGUUCUUUCAGAAAAACUAUGUGCCCACUUCUUAUUAUUUGAAUCAAUAGAAAAGGAAGCUGCUUCUGUCAGGCAACUAGUGGAUAACGUGCAUCAGCUUGUGAGUGAAAAAGAGGAUGUAGUGGCUGGAUUAAAGAUGAAACUUGAACAGGUUUCAGCAUUAGACAAAGAAUUUAUUGACAAGAUUUGUUUCCUGGAAAAUAGGCUGAAAAAUGUCCAGGAUGAACUGCAGAGAAAGGAUAUGGUAAUUAUAGAACUUGAACGACAGCUUGAGGCAGCAAAAACUAGUAUUACCUGCCAGCCACAAAUUGGCGAGCUUCAGAAAACUCUGUCAAUAAAGGAAGACAUCAUAGAAAAUUUACUUGCGGAGAAAAAGGCAUUGUAUUUUGAAGUGCGGAACAUGGAGAUGAUUUUACAGAAGAUUCAGGAUGCAGUUACGUGUAUAAAUGCAGAGGAUAAAAAAGUUUUUUGCUCAGUGCUGGAAGACCAAGAAGAAAGUUCUACAAUGAGCAAAAAGGAAGGUGAUGGUAUGUAUUAUCUGAUGGGUGUUAUCUUGGACAUAUCUUGGCUUAAAUCAGGAUUGAUUAUAAUGGUCCAAGAGAGUAGAAAAGAUUCCCCAUGUAAGGAUCCUGACAAAAGAGCUGUAGAAAAUACAGGUCUAUUCUGCCUCCUACUCCAUAAAUACAUUCCUUAUGAGAUUGAAACUGAUUCUUUUUGAGAUUGGUAGUUUAAUGGUGAUAGACUUGAGUGCAUUAUCCAUCCAUGUUUUUCAUGUCUAAUAUAUCAUAUUAGUUCAUGAUAUUUAUUUGCAUUGCGACUUGGGGAGUUUGUCAAGUCAAAAUAUCUUAAAGUCCACAUGCUGAAAGAUUUUGAAGCAACAGCAAUGAAACAAACAUAAGAUGAGUCAGAGCCUUAUCCGGUGCUGCAUUAGGAAGAGCAAUGCACCAAAACACAAAAUCUUAUUAGUUAUUCUGGUCAGAAUCACACUAAGAAUAGCAUGUGGGAAUGUACAAUAUGGUAAAAUGCUUAGUUUUCUUUGAGGAAAUGAUAUCACCAAAGUUCCUAAAAGUAACAAACUUAUAAAGGGUGUACCCUGGAUUGCCUUGGCACAUGUCUUAAAGUGCACCUUGCUUGUACACCUAGAUGUGCCAAGGCAUGCCUUUAAAACAUUUCUCAGCCUUAAAGCAGGUUAGUUCCAGUCAAUUCCCUCUCCAUGCAAGUUUCACAACAUUGAACAUUUGCAUGAGGCUAUUUCCCAUGCUUAUUUCCCAGGUUAGUUCCAGUCAAUUCCCUCUCCAUGCAAGUUUCACAACAUUGAACAUUUGCAUGAGGCUAUUUCCCAUGCUUAUUCCAUGAAUUCAAACAUUCAUUAUUUAAUAUCAACUCCUUGAUCGAACUCUUCAGUGGUGAUUGAACUGAAUUUGAAGAAAUUCAAUUUCACUUUGUCUAGAUUGCUAAUAGAAAAAAAAUUAUCCAGGAGGAAUAGAAAGAAAGAUACAAGUAGCCACCUGCACAGGAAAACAAGGGAAAUACAAAUUCCUCAAAAUGAUUGAAUAGCAUGAGAAAAUUACAGCAAUAUCAUUAGAGAAAUAACAGCUAACCGAAGGGGGUAUUCCUCCAAUACAAAUUACUCUUCCCAACCCCUUCCGUAGUAAGGUAUAAGAAGGACCAUUACCCAAUGUUGGUUCAAGCUAUCCGGGGUCUUUGGAGGGAUGAUCUGGACAAGGACAUAGCCUUCCAUUGUUUCUUGCAUAAGUGACUGCUCUUGGACUAGUAUUUUAAAAUUGCAAGGGCCUUUGAGGCAUAUGCCUUCUGAAGCAAAGUUCAAAUUUUCGAAAAAUAUAUAAAAAAACAUUAAUACAUAAAAAAUGCAAACCUGAGUUUAAUAAAAUUAAGCAUUUUAAGAAGCCUGUUGGCUCAAUUUAAAAUACAUAAGAAUAAAUUUGAAGUGAAUAUGCGGAAGUAAAAGCAAACAUAUAUGGAUCAUACCAAAAUCCUUUAUCUUUUUAGCAUUCAACAAUUCAAGCAUGCUAAAUUUUCAAUCUGUGUAUUUAUCGCUUAGUUGCAUUACUUCAAGUGAUUAAUGUAAUGCUAAACAUCUAAUAUUCCUAAUCCUAGGAGAUUGGCCCUCUGCAUUUGUCAAGGCUCCUUGAGGCAUGCCCAAUAAAGUCCAUAUGGGGGGUAUGAGCUGUACUUUGUCAUGAGCACAAUUCAGUGGAUAACUUGCAUGAGAACUGUAACUUCGACUCCUG